rnacentral:rRNA from 1 species
AGUGAACGCUGGCGGCGUGCUUAACACAUGCAAGUCGAACGAGAACGGGUUAUAGCUUGCUAUAAUUGUCAGCUAAGUGGCGCACGGGUGAGUAAUGUAUAGGUAAUAUGCCUCUUACUAAGGGAUAACAAAUGGAAACGUUUGCUAAUACCUUAUACUCCUUAUUAACAGAAGUUAAUAAGGGAAAGAUUUAUUGGUAAGAGAUUAGCCUGUAUUGUAUCAGUUAGUUGGUGGGGUAAUGGCUUACAAAGACUAUGACACAUAACUGGUUUGAGAGGAUGAUCAGUCACCCGGAAACUGAGACACGGGCCAGACUCCAACGGGAGGCAGCAGUGGGGAAUAUUGCACAAGGGACGAAAGUCUGAUGCAGCACCGCCGCGUGGAGAAUGAAACAUUUCGGUGCGUAAACUCUUUUUAUAUGAGAAGAUAAUGACGGUAUUAUAUGAAUAACAACCGGCUAACUCCGUGCCAGCAGCCGCGGUAA